rnacentral:tRNA from 1 species
GCCGAAAUAGCUCAGUUGGGAGAGCGUUAGACUGAAGAUCUAAAGGACCCUGGUUUGAUCCCGGGUUUCGGCA